UACGGGGGGGGGCAAGCGUUGUUCGGAAUUACUGGGCGUAAAGGGCUCGUAGGCGGCCAACUAAGUCAGACGUGAAAUCCCUCGGCUUAACCGGGGAACUGCGUCUGAUACUGGAUGGCUUGAGUUUGGGAGAGGGAUGCGGAAUUCCAGGUGUAGCGGUGAAAUGCGUAGAUAUCUGGAGGAACACCGGUGGCGAAGGCGGCAUCCUGGACCGACACUGACACUGAGGAGCGAAAGCCAGGGGAGCAAACGGG
rnacentral:rRNA from 1 species